rnacentral:rRNA from 1 species
CGCAGCCGCGGUAAUACAGAGGGUGCGAGCGUUAAUCGGAUUUACUGGGCGUAAAGCGUGCGUAGGCGGCUUUUUAAGUCGGAUGUGAAAUCCCUGAGCUUAACUUAGGAAUUGCAUUCGAUACUGGGAAGCUAGAGUAUGGGAGAGGAUGGUAGAAUUCCAGGUGUAGCGGUGAAAUGCGUAGAGAUCUGGAGGAAUACCGAUGGCGAAGGCAGCCAUCUGGCCUAAUACUGACGCUGAGGUACGAAAGCAUGGGGAGCAAACAGGAUUAGAUACCCCCGUAGUCCCUGUCUCUUAUACC